AACGAACGCUGGCUGCAUGCCUAACACAUGCAAGUCGAACGAGACCUUCGGGUCUAGUGGCGCACGGGUGCGUAACGCGUGGGAACCUGCCCUUAGGUUCGGAAUAACUCCCCGAAAGGGGUGCUAAUACCGGAUAAUGUCUUCGGACCAAAGAUUUAUCGCCUUUGGAUGGGCCCGCGUUGGAUUAGCUAGUUGGUAGGGUAAAAGCCUACCAAGGCGACGAUCCAUAGCUGGUCUGAGAGGAUGAUCAGCCACACUGGGACUGAGACACGGCCCAGACUCCUACGGGAAGCAGCAGUGGGGGAUAUUGGACAAUGGGCGAAAGCCUGAUCCAGCAAUGCCGCGUGAGUGAUGAAGGCCGGAGGGUUGUAAAGCUCUGUUACACGGGAUGAUAAUGACAGUACCGGGAGAAUAAGCUCCGGCUAAAUCCGUG
rnacentral:rRNA from 1 species